CCAAGCUCCGUGGAAUUGCUGGAGGUAUCAUUUUCUUCUGUACCACAUUUGAACCUGAAUCUGCUCCCACACCUGCACUUUUGUAUGGAGAUUUGUGUUCGUUUAAUGCUUCCUGAAGAGAUCUCGCUUGUUACUUGCCCUCCAGAUUAUGCAUAUGAUAAGUUUACAAGGCCUUCUAGUGUUCCUGAAGGAGCUUAUGUUCAGUGGGAAAUUGAGCUACUUGGCUUUGAAAUGCCUAAGAUUUGAGAGAAGAUGGUGUUUGUAUGGUAAAAAAGAUUAUGCAGCAAGUGCCAGGUGGUAUGGUGGAUUCUUGAUUAGAUUUGUAGAAGAGCUUGCAGUUUCGGAUGGAAUAACAUUUACAUGAAAAUUAGGCAUGUUUGGUGGAAGAGAAUGGUAAGCAUAUUUAGAAAACAAUUACAUGCUGCAUCUAGGAAAACAAUCCAGCAUUCAGCAAUUGCUCUUCCUAAUUUUUGCUUGUUUGGUUAAAGAACAAAUCUCACAAGUUAAUAAGCACAGAAAUGGUGCAGACGUAGAGCUCCAAUGUUCUGAUCAGUUCUCUGCACAGAAAUGGUGCUUUCCCUUCUCACUUCUUUGAGCUUUGAUGAAGCUGGUAGCUUGUGUAGAUGGGGCAUCCGUGUGAGGAUGGUUUAGUAAGAGAUCCCUUUUGGGGUUGUUGACUUCUAUUAUCUUGUCAUUUGAUGUUUUUCCUAGUGGAUUUGUAGUGAUAGAAAUGGGUUUUCUUAGUCUGCUUUGGGUUUGUUGUGAGUUUUAGGACAAG